rnacentral:rRNA from 1 species
UGGGGAAUAUUGCACAAUGGGCGCAAGCCUGAUGCAGCCAUGCCGCGUGUAUGAAGAAGGCCUUCGGGUUGUAAAGUACUUUCAGCGGGGAGGAAGGCGGUGAGGUUAAUAACCUCACCGAUUGACGUUACCCGCAGAAGAAGCACCGGCUAACUCCGUGCCAGCAGCCGCGGUAAUACGGAGGGUGCAAGCGUUAAUCGGAAUUACUGGGCGUAAAGCGCACGCAGGCGGUCUGUCAAGUCGGAUGUGAAAUCCCCGGGCUCAACCUGGGAACUGCAUCUGAUACUGGCAAGCUUGAGUCUCGUAGAGGGGGGUAGAAUUCCAGGUGUAGCGGUGAAAUGCGUAGAGAUCUGGAGGAAUACCGGUGGCGAAGGCGGCCCCCUGGACGAAGACUGACGCUCAGGUGCGAAAGCGUGGGGAGCAAACAGG